rnacentral:rRNA from 1 species
UACCAGACUCCUACGGGAGGCAGCAGUGAGGAAUAUUGGUCAAUGGGCUUACGCCUGAACCAGCCAAGUCGCGUGAGGGAAGACUGCCCUAUGGGUUGUAAACCUCUUUUGUCGGGGAGCAAAGAGAGUCACGUGUGACUCAUUGAGAGUACCCGAAGAAAAAGCAUCGGCUAACUCCGUGCCAGCAGCCGCGGUAAUACGGAGGAUGCGAGCGUUAUCCGGAUUUAUUGGGUUUAAAGGGUGCGCAGGCGGAGGUGCAAGUCAGCGGUCAAAUUGCGGGGCUCAACCCCGUACUGCCGUUGAAACUGCAUCCCUUGAGUGCGCGAGAAGUAUGCGGAAUGCGUGGUGUAGCGGUGAAAUGCAUAGAUAUCACGCAGAACUCCGAUUGCGAAGGCAGCAUACCGGCGCCCUACUGACGCUGAGGCACGAAAGCGUGGGUAUCGAACAGGAUUAGAUACCCUUGUAACG